UAACACAUGCAAGUCGAACGGCAGCACAGAAGAGCUUGCUCUUUGGGUGGCGAGUGGCGGACGGGUGAGUAAUGUCUGGGAAACUGCCCGAUGGAGGGGGAUAACUACUGGAAACGGUAGCUAAUACCGCAUAACGUCGCAAGACCAAAGUGGGGGACCUUCGGGCCUCACACCAUCGGAUGUGCCCAGAUGGGAUUAGCUAGUAGGUGGGGUAAUGGCUCACCUAGGCGACGAUCCCUAGCUGGUCUGAGAGGAUGACCAGCCACACUGGAACUGAGACACGGUCCAGACUCCUACGGGAGGCAGCAGUGGGGAAUAUUGCACAAUGGGCGCAAGCCUGAUGCAGCCAUGCCGCGUGUAUGAAGAAGGCCUUCGGGUUGUAAAGUACUUUCAGCGGGGAGGAAGGCGGUGAGGUUAAUAACCUCGCCGAUUGACGUUACCCGCAGAAGAAGCACCGGCUAACUCCGUGCCAGCAGCCGCGGUAAUACGGAGGGUGCAAGCGUUAAUCGGAAUUACUGGGCGUAAAGCGCACGCAGGCGGUCUGUUAAGUCAGAUGUGAAAUCCCCGGGCUUAACCUGGGAACUGCAUUUGAAACUGGCAGGCUUGAGUCUCGUAGAGGGGGGUAGAAUUCCAGGUGUAGCGGUGAAAUGCGUAGAGAUCUGGAGGAAUACCGGUGGCGAAGGCGGCCCCCUGGACGAAGACUGACGCUCAGGUGCGAAAGCGUGGGGAGCAAACAGGAUUAGAU
rnacentral:rRNA from 1 species